UACCAUUUUUCUAUUCAAUUUUCUCUACAUAGAUAGAUAUAAAACCAAAUCUAGCAUAACUUGUUCUGUUUCCAUAUUCUGAUCUUGAGUAAUUUCUUUCAGAUUUCAGUCUGUUUUGCGGUAAUUGACAUUUUUGCAUGGUUCAACAUUCCAAAUUAUGAAUUUCUUGAUGUUAUGUAUCUUUAAAACAAGGGGAACUGGAUCUUGGAACGGAAGAAACAUAAGUUAUAUUUGAAUCUCCUUUGACAAAAGUCGAACAAGUGGCACUGCAUCAACAGUUGUUUCGACCUAGGUUGGCAUUACUGCAUGUUCAUUAAACAGUUACGUUGUCAACAAAUGUAACGACUCUGCAUACUCUACUCGCUAAGUUCUUUAAAUUAGGUAUCAUAAGUGUGAUUUUGUUACAUCUUGGCACUCAAGUCAAUGUAGAUUACUGCAUAAUGUUGUUAAGCACUAUAUCUAAUUGAAGAAAUAUAUUAAUAUCGUUGUUUUUUGGAAA